GCUGGCGGCAGGCCUAACACAUGCAAGUCGAGCGCUCUCUUCGGAGGGAGCGGCGGACGGGUGAGUAACGCGUGGGAACGUGCCCUUCUCUAUGGAAUAGCCACUGGAAACGGUGAGUAAUACCAUAUACGCCCUUCGGGGGAAAGAUUUAUCGGAGAAGGAUCGGCCCGCGUUAGAUUAGGUAGUUGGUGGGGUAAUGGCCUACCAAGCCUACGAUCUAUAGCUGGUUUUAGAGGAUGAUCAGCCACACUGGGACUGAGACACGGCCCAGACUCCUACGGGAGGCAGCAGUGGGGAAUCUUAGACAAUGGGCGCAAGCCUGAUCUAGCCAUGCCGCGUGAGUGAUGAAGGCCUUAGGGUCGUAAAGCUCUUUCGCCAGAGAUGAUAAUGACAGUAUCUGGUAAAGAAACCCCGGCUAACUCCGUGCCAGCAGCCGCGGUAAUACGGAGGGGGUUAGCGUUGUUCGGAAUUACUGGGCGUAAAGCGCACGUAGGCGGAUUAGAAAGUUGGGGGUGAAAUCCCGGGGCUCAACCUCGGAACGGCCUCCAAAACUCCUA
rnacentral:rRNA from 1 species